CCUACGGGAGGCAGCAGUGGGGAAUAUUGGGCAAUGGAGGCAACUCUGACCCAGCAACGCCGCGUGAAUGAUGAAGGUCUUCGGAUUGUAAAGUUCUUUUCGAAGGGAAGAAGAAAGUGACGGUACCUUAUGUAUAAGCCUCGGCUAACUACGUGCCAGCAGCCGCGCUACUACGUCGGAGGCAAGCGUUAUCCGGAAUGACUGGGCGUAAAGGGUGCGUAGGUUGGUUGACAAGUUAGUAGCGUAAUUCCGGGGCUCAACUUCGGAACUACUACCGAGACUGUUGGGCUAGAGUGGAGGAGAGGAAAGUGGAAUGUCUGGUGUAGCGGUGGAAUGCGUAGAUAUUAGGAAGAACACCGGUGGCGAAGGCGAGUUGCUGGACUGUAACUGACACUGAGGCACGAAAGCGUGGGGAGCAAACAGGAUUAGAUACCCGAGUAGUA
rnacentral:rRNA from 1 species